rnacentral:misc_RNA from 1 species
GUCAAAAAGAGCAUCAGAUAUAGUUCACAGUUUCCAAGAGCAGGAGCUUGCUCAGGUUUUGUGGGCUUUUGCUUCUCUCUACAACAUAGCUGACCCUUUGCUCGAGUCUUUGGAUAAUGUUUUCAAGGACAUUAACCAGCUUCAAUGCUACUUGAUGGCGGAAACAUCAAAUUGUAAUGAAGAGGACAGAAGGGGAGGGAGCGAAGAUCUUGAUAGAGAGGAAGUUUUAGGCCCUCCAGUACUCAGAUUUAAUAGGGAUCAACUUGGUAAUAUAGCUUGGUCAUAUGCUGUUCUUGGACAACUUAACCGGACUUUCUUUUCUAAUGUUUGG